CUUUACAGGAUGAUGCACAACCCACUGAGCCACGCCAUUCAGGGUCCACCACCACCACCUUUUAUAGAUGUAUUUUCUUGGGGGGAGGGGUGGCACAUAGCAGGGACUAUGCAUCAUUAUUUGGUCAUAGCUUGGUCACUCCUAGUAGCCUCCCCUUAAAGCUCAUUGCUCACCUCUGCCAUUUGGGUGGCUACUACUGAAGAAUAUUUGCCGUUGUAUAACAGCAUAAAGAAAACAAGUAAAUUCUGUAUGGCCUUAACUUCAUCAGUCAGGUAGAAAUUGGAACAAGUUUUCCAAGUUGUAUUGAUGCCUUAGAGUGUCUGGUUUUGUACUUUCUUGAACAAUAGAAGUGCGGAGUUUUAAAACUGUGUGUGUUCCUGGUUGUGCACCUAAGCAACUGUCCUCUGCUCUUAGGUAGCAAGAAGAGUUGAGAUUGACUUUGUGGAGUGAAAACUCCAAUCCCAACGUGGAAGCGUGAGAGGGUGGAGGAAACACGGCUGGCUCUCCCGUUUAGCAGAGUGUUAGCUGGAAUAGGCUGCCCCUGGUUUCACAGCUCAGGCCAGGUCUCCGAUGUUUUCCCACCUCGGGGUGUGAGAGAGGUUUUUGGUUUUAAUCCCUGGAUUUAUUGCACAUCAGUUCGGUGCUGCUAUUGGAUCACAAAUACCUGUUCGUUUGGAGGCCAGAUUCUACUUGGAGAAUCCUGUAAUAAUUCAUUACUUUGCAAACAGGUUUUAGGCCCUAGGCAAUAAACACCUAUUGAUUAAAAAUAUUGUUAAAUGAUAGAAACUUCAAAAAGGAAAAUACAGUUGUAUGUCGCUUAACGAUGGAUACAUUCUGAGAACUGCAUCAUUCGGUGAUUUCCUUGUUAUGGGAACACCGAAGAGUGCACUCACACAAACCUAAACGGUAGAAGCUACUACACACCUAGCCCAUAAAGUAUAGCCUGCCGCUCCUGGGCUGCCGACCGGUACAGCAUGUUACUGUGCUGAAUACAGUGGGCCAUUGCAGUACCGUGGUAAGAAUGUGUGUAUCUAAACAUAGAAAAUAGACAGCAAAAAUACAGUAUAAAAGAUAAAUAGUACACCUGUAUAGGGCACUUACCAUGAAUGGGGCUUGCAGGACUCGAAAAGUUGCCCCAAGUGAGUCAGUGGGUGAGUGGAAAGGGAAUGAAGGCCUGGCCAUCACUGUAAUGCAUCGUGCUAGGAUUUUUAUGAACUGCGUCACUAGGUGAUCAGCAUCUUCAGCUCCAAUACAGUCUUUCAGGACCAUCCUCAUAUAUGCAGUUUGUUGUUGACUGAAACUUCACGAGAAGGUACAUACCUGUCAUUUUUUGUUAAUUUUAUUUACAUUGUAGUAGAUUUCCUUGAGUUUAGCUUUGGUUCUUGUUUUAAAGGUGUAUAUUAGGACAUUAAAAAUAAAUGCUUUGAAUUUAACCAAGGCAGGGGCUGUCACAUCUUAGGUUCCCGGUUGCCUAGGAUUCCAUCUGUGGAAGAUGGACUUAGUAAGUCUGUAGUCAAAGGUGGCUGGGGACAUGGAUGUACUACAGUUGUAUUUUCAGCUCUGUUAGUGCUCUUGCAUUUCUAAGCCAGAAAAGGGAGUGAAAAAAUCAAAACAUGAAAGGUAAAUUCAAGAGAUAAAGCUAAAAAUAGGAUUAGCAACUAGUAUACUAUAGACUGCAAACCAUUAUCACACUUGAAUAGAAUAUUGCUUGGAACCUUCUUAUAUUUCAGUUGGAACCUAGACUAAUAUUUCAGGAAGCUGUGUUGUUAAUAUUAUUAUGGAGAGGAUUAAAUGGAAGAGGAAAUUAAACCAAUAAAAGUAGUGCUCAAGCAGUUGUAUUAACAUUGAAGAAAAUUGUUGGUGGAGAGGAAUUUCUAAAUGAGUUAAGGACAUAAAGUUUCCAAUGGGGAAAUCAUUUGAAGCAUAAGUGUUAUAGGGACUUUAAGAAAAAACCCCAAAACACUUGAUUUUAAAAUAAAAAUCUCCAGUGCUUUAAUACGGGAGGAACAAAUCUUGAGAUUUGUGGAAGCAGAUUGAAGUUUAUAUUUUGUUAGGUUGACUAGGAAAAAUACAAGAGGAUAGGACCAUUGAUUUCUUCCUUAAUUUGAUUUUUUCAGUCCUGAGAAUUUUGAGUUUUUGAAGAUCACAAGACGGUCUGGGUGACACGAGCCCCUCCUCCCUCCUUGGCAGCCCAGUGAAGGGCUUCCAGGGCACUGUGUGCGCAGGGUCCACCUCCCGUCCGUCCCGCCGGCUGUUCCUUUUUGGCUUACUGUCUGUCCCAGAGAAGUUUACUUGGCCCCUUUUCUUUUUUCUCCACUCACUCCCUCAGUGAUCCUGUGUUAAAUAGCUUUACCUAACAAUGGUACCCUGACAAGGCCCCUGUUAAGGCUCCAGCCCAGACCUCUUCCUCUUAGCUCCGUGUUUGUGAAUCCAACUUGAUUACCAACUUGGAUGUCCAAAAGGUAUUCAGACUUCAUGUGUUCAAUUGCACUCUUUUAAAAAAUUACUAUUAAUUUUAGAAAUAGGAAGGGGGAGAAUUCAUUGCUCCACAUCUUUGUGCAUUUAUUGGUUGCUUCCCCUAUGUUCCAUGACCUGACAUCAACCCACACCCACCUACAACCUUGGCAUAUUGGGAUGAUACUCUAACCAACAGAGCUACCUGGCCAGGGCUUAAUGGCACGCUUGAUUUGCUCCUCCAGAUCGACUCCUUGUGCUCUUCCCUGGCUUGAGAAAUUCCUUGGCUAGAAAUCUUCAACUUUUCUCUCAUGCUUUGUAUCUGAUACUCCAGAAAACGUUCCGUUAGGCUCUCCCUUCAGAAUGACCCCAGAGAGUUCUGCUUCUUCCAUUUCCCCUCCCCUGUUGUGCUAAUGCAAGUGUGACUGUUGCCCUUUCGCCUCCGCAACUCGCGCUGAAGAUCGAUGGUAAC